UCUCUCCGGCGAGGGAGUUGUACUGCGCCGCCGCUGCACCGCACCUCGUCAGUCGACUCCGGGAAACUGCUCCCGAGCCCCAGCGCCAAGGCCUACCGGAGCGCCUCCGGUGAGGUCGUGACGAGCUCAGGGUUCGUUUGGUGGUAAGCUCUGUGCUCCCGGGGCGCGCGGGGCUGGAUCUGGAGCGGGGUUUCGCAGCGCAGCGGGGAGGAGCCAGUACGGGUGGGGGAUGGGGAGGCUGACCGUCGCCGCGGCAGUGGCCGCAUGGGCGAUCCCGCUCGCUGCUCUGGUCGCCUCCAUCGUGCCCGACCCUUACAUGGAUGAGAUCUUCCAUGUUCCCCAGGUGCAGCGCUAUUGCCGUGGAGAUUUCUUAAUAUGGGAUCCCAUGAUCACCACCCCUCCUGGCCUGUACUACAUUUCACUAGCAUAUGUUGCUUCCUUGUUUCCUGGUGCAUGGGUGACUAGAAUAGCAGAGGCAUUUGAUGCCCUUUGCACUACAGCACUUCUGAGAUCCACUAAUGUUAUCAUGGCGAUGAUCUGUGGUGUUCUAGUCCAUGACCUGCUUUUGUGCAUCAGGCCAAAAAUUGGCAAGAGGAAGGCAACUGCAUUUGCUAUUUUAGUAGCUUUGUACCCUAUUCAUUGGUUCUUUACUUUCCUUUAUUAUACUGAUGUUGCAUCAUUAGCGGCAGUUCUUGCGAUGUACCUUUUCUGCUUGAAGAAACAAUUUUGGGUCAGUGCAGCGUUUGGUGCUUUUUCUAUACUUCUCCGGCAGACUAAUGUAAUAUGGAUGAUAUUUUUUGCUGCCAAUGGAGCCAUCGCUCAUGCACAAUAUCUUUAUGUCAAGGACAAUGUUUGUUACGAGAACAGUGAACUAACAGAUAAGUCAAACAAAGAGGCAUCUCACAUGGAUAAUAAAACCACUGCUCCAGGUUUGAGAAGGCGGCGAAACAAUAAUCCCAUAAACAAGAGAGAAGUUGUUUCUGAAUCAAACAUUAUGUAUUCCAGUUUUACAGAGGAAAUAUGGGAUGCCAUCUUCAAGUUAUGGAAUUCAAAGUGUGAAGUUUUAAUUGCUUUUAUACCAUUUGCAAUGGUUCUUUUGGUGUUUGUGGCAUUCAUAGUCUGGAAUGGUGGCAUAGUGCUAGGUGCUAAGGAAGCUCAUGUUGUUUCACCACACUUUGCACAGUUUUUGUACUUUGGUCUAGUGUCAGCUGCUGCCCUCCUGCCAUGGCAUUUUACUCCUACCCGAGCAUCAGACCUAUUCCACUGGUGCAGAAAGAACAAAACAUAUAGUUCUUUUGCAAUUUUGGUGGCUCUUGGUUUAAGCCUUGUUGCUGUACAUUUAUUCAGCAUUGCUCAUCCAUAUCUUCUUGCUGACAAUAGACACUACACCUUUUAUAUUUGGAGGAAGGUUAUCCAAGUUCACUGGAUGAUGAAAUACAUUUUGACUCCAGUUUAUGUGUACUCAUGGUUUUCAAUUGUUAAUAUCUUAGGGAAGUCACAGACAAGACUUUGGGUGCUGUCCUUUGUUCUAUCAGUUGCCCUUGCUCUCAUCCCUGCCCCAUUGGUUGAAUUUAGAUACUAUACAAUUCCAUUGGUCAUACUGGUUCUUCAUUCUCCAGUGAUCAGCAAUGUUAAAUUGCUUGCUUUGGGGUUUCUUUAUGCCGCUGUUGACUUCUUCACUCUGGCAAUGUUUCUGUUCAGACCUUUCCAGUGGCAACAUGAGCCUGGGACACAAAGGUUUAUUUGGUAGUUUAGGAUACAGAAUUAGAGAGGAGGCAAAUUCCGGUGUACAAAUUCCCUAGAGCAUGAACCGCUAGCAGGGUUUAUAUAUAUGAGGGUGAAUCCCUCGGAGAAAUUUUAGACUUGAGAGCUUUGUCUGUACACUAGGAUGUCUUGCGAAGCUUUAUGCAAUUGAACGUUUAAGCCAGAUGGUUCCUUCAGGAGCAAACUAAAAUAUUCAGAGGAAUGAAUGGAUGGAAGAGCUUGUUGGAUGAAGGAAGAAUCUGGCGUCCAAUGCGGCUGUGUUUAGUUUCUGAAAUUGGGGAGAAGUUUGGGGAAAGUUGGUAGUUUGGAAAAAAAGUUGGGAGUUUAUAUAAGUAGGAAAGUUUCGGAUGUGAUGUGAUGUGAUGGAAAGUUAGGAGUUUGGGGGAAGUUUUGUGUCAACUAAACAGGGGAAUUUGUUAAAUCCAGAACUGAGAACAGCCUUUUAUUGUCAGGGAUAGUCAGCAAUGUAAGACAGUGCCAUCAACUUUCGGCGAAUAGGUCCACAGGUGAGAUCCUCAUCACUGUUGGAAAUCCUGGUUGUUAUUAUGCCUUGACUCAUCCCUGAUUUUUUUUUUGGCACUAGAGCAAUUUCCUUCAAUUGGCCAGUUUUUCAAGCAUGCAUGAGAAUGCCUAUUCAUGGACUGUGUGAAGCCGUGUUAGGGAAACUGAACUGGGAAUGCCUGUCCAGGCUUCAUCCAAUAUAUAGAACGUGAUAGAUUUGUCAAACUUUGUACGAAAAUAGUUUGGGUGCAGCAUAAAAAAUGCUUAUGCACUACAAAAAUGCGGUAUAUCUCUCAAUACAUCUUCAAGGACUGUAAAAGGUUGAAAAUAAUGUUUUUAAAAAAUCACAAUUAAUGCACAUCCAUUGCCUUAAGAUCUGGUUACAGCACACGAAUACAACAUAGCAUCCCAAAAGCCAUAAUUACACUUAAAAACACCUCACAUCAUGAGCAACACUGAACAUGACAAAAAGAUCAGCUGUACCACUAGGAGGACCAGCAAAAUAUACACAAGAACGGAAAGCUGUAUCAAGAACUGUUGAGUGUUGAAAGGCUUCAAAACAAGACCAUUCACACUUCCUUGAGACACAAAUUACUGAAAGCUUGGAUAGAGCAAAAAGGCUAUAUGGGGAAAACUUCGAUUCACAUGUCGGUGUACAUCAUAUUGAUCUUUUAAACAUGCAAGUCCAUGUACAGCGCAUAUAAUAAUCCUGCAACCAUGUAUAGAUUUUAGUUGUCCCGAUUCGCAAAACUGAACUUGUUUUUGUGGAUCUUUGCUGGACACUGGUGAGUUCACCAAAUGCUCUCUCGAGUAAAAGCAGAAGCUAGGAUCAGAUGGUUUACAGAGCCAUUUCUGCUCUGCGUUGGGUUUUUG